UGAUUCGCCUGGAUAUUGUGCCAAGUAUGGGACAUAUAGCUGCAUGGAUUUGGAAUCUAACAACAUUUUAGACACACAACUUGUUCAGUCCAAUGAAGUGACGAACUCUGGAGCAAUGGAACUUGAGGGAUUAAAAAGAUGUCUGGCAAAGUUUGAUGAAAGUGGGAUGAAGGUGAAGUCAAUGACCACAGACAGACAUGCUCAAAUCAAAUCCUACAUGUCAAAACAAAGACCAAAAAUCGAGCACUACUUUGAUGUAUGGCAUGUAGCAAAAGGUAUAGAUUGUCAUAACAAACCAACCUUUUACACAUUUCAUCAAUAAUCAAAUUCCAACAGGAAUCAAAAAGAAAAUUUUGGCAGCAUCAAAAAGUGGUUGCAAAUUAUUGUCGGAUUGGGCCCAAUCAAUUUCCAACCAUGUAUACUGGUGUGCUGCUUCCAGCAAUGGUGAUGAAGAACUUGUCAAGGCAAAGUGGUUGUCAGUUCUCAAUCAUAUAUGUGACAUCCAUGAGGGACAUAGUGAUGUAUUCCCAAAAUGUGAACAUGAUAUGUUAGAGCCUAGAAUGUGGAUAAAAAAGGUUCAAAAGCUUAUGUUGAGCUGUCUUCGAUUGUUGAGUCCAAGUAUCUCAUGAGAGAUAUUGGAAAACUCAGUUAUCAGAAGCAGACUUCAUCCAUCGAAGGUUUCCACCGAGUGGUGAUUCUUUUUGCACCAAAAC